CAACAUGAAUACAUAGUGUUGCAAGGCGAACGAGGGGAAGUGAAACAUCUCAGUACCCUUAGGAAAAGAAAUCAAUUGAGAUUCCCUCAGUAGCGGCGAGCGAACGGGGAUCAGCCCAUUAAGUUAUGUGUGUUUUAGUGGAACGCUCUGGGAAGUGCGAACGUAGAGGGUGAUAUUCCCGUACACGAAAGGGCACACAUAAUGAUGACGAGUAGGGCGAGGCACGUGAAACCUUGUCUGAAUAUGGGGGGACCAUCCUCCAAGGCUAAAUACUCCUGACUGACCGAUAGUGAACCAGUACCGUGAGGGAAAGGCGAAAAGAACCCCUGUGAGGGGAGUGAAAUAGAUCCUGAAACCGCAUGCAUACAAGCAGUGGGAGCACCUUCGUGGUGUGACUGCGUACCUUUUGUAUAAUGGGUCAGCGACUUAUAUUCAGUAGCGAGGUUAACCGUAUAGGGGAGCCGUAGAGAAAUCGAGUCUUAAUAGGGCGUUUAGUUGCUGGGUAUAGACCCGAAACCAGGCGAUCUAUCCAUGAGCAGGUUGAAGGUUGGGUAACACUAACUGGAGGACCGAACCCACUGUCGUUGAAAAGCCAGGGGAUGACUUGUGGAUAGGGGUGAAAGGCUAAUCAAGCCUGGUGAUAGCUGGUUCUCCCCGAAAGCUAUUUAGGUAGCGCCUCGGACGAAUACCAUAGGGGGUAGAGCACUGUUUCGGCUAGGGGGUCAUCCCGACUUACCAAACCGAUGCAAACUCCGAAUACCUAUGAGUACUAUCCGGGAGACAGACUGCGGGUGCUAACGUCCGUAGUCAAGAGGAAAACAAUCCAGACCGCCAGCUAAGGCCCCAAAAUCAUAGUUAAGUGGGAAACGAUGUGGGAAGGCAUAGACAGCUAGGAGGUUGGCUUAGAAGCAGCCACCCUUUAAAGAAAGCGUAAUAGCUCACUAGUCGAGUCGGCCUGCGCGGAAGAUGUAACGGGGCUAAAACUAUGUGCCGAAGCUGCGGAUGUAUACUUUGUAUACGUGGUAGGGGAGCGUUCUGUAAGCCGAUGAAGGUGUGUUGAGAAGCAUGCUGGAGGUAUCAGAAGUGCGAAUGCUGACGUGAGUAACGACAAAACGGGUGAAAAACCCGUUCGCCGAAAGACCAAGGGUUCCAGUCCAACGUUAAUCGGGGCUGGGUGAGUCGACCCCUAAGGCGAGGCCGAAAGGCGUAGUCGAUGGGAAAAUGGUUAAUAUUCCAUUACUUCUGUGUAAUGCGAUGAGAGGACGGAGAAGGCUAAAUCAGCCUGGCGUUGGUUGUCCAGGUGAAAGGAUGUAGGCAUGUAUCUUAGGCAAAUCCGGGGUACUCUAUGCUGAGAUCUGAUAGCAAGCUGUACUUGUACAGCGAAGUGGUUGAUGCCAUGCUUCCAGGAAAAG
rnacentral:rRNA from 1 species